rnacentral:rRNA from 1 species
GAUGAACGCUGGCGGCGUGCCUAAUACAUGCAAGUCGAGCGAACAGACGAGGAGCUUGCUCCUCUGACGUUAGCGGCGGACGGGUGAGUAACACGUGGAUAACCUACCUAUAAGACUGGGAUAACUUCGGGAAACCGGAGCUAAUACCGGAUAAUAUAUUGAACCGCAUGGUUCAAUAGUGAAAGACGGUUUUGCUGUCACUUAUAGAUGGAUCCGCGCCGCAUUAGCUAGUUGGUAAGGUAACAGCUUACCAAGGCAACGAUGCGUAGCCGACCUGAGAGGGUGAUCGGCCACACUGGAACUGAGACACGGUCCAGACGCCUACGGGAGGCAGCAGUAGGGAAUCUUCCGCAAUGGGCGAAAGCCUGACGGAGCAACGCCGCGUGAGUGAUGAAGGUCUUCGGAUCGUAAAACUCUGUUAUUAGGGAAGAACAAAUGUGUAAGUAACUAUGCACGUCUUGACGGUACCUAAUCAGAAAGCCACGGCUAACUACGUG